rnacentral:rRNA from 1 species
CUUUACUGCAGCUUGACAUUGAACUUUGAUCUUACUUGUGUAGGAUAGGUGGGAGGCUUUGAAACCGAGACGCUAGUUUCGGUGGAGCCAAUCUUGAAAUACCACCCUGGUAAUAUUGAGGUUCUAACUCUGUCCCGUUAUCCGGGACGAGGACCAUGUCUGGUGGGUAGUUUGACUGGGGCGGUCUCCUCCUAAAGAGUAACGGAGGAGUACGAAGGUGCGCUCAGCGUGGUCGGAAAUCACGCGUAGAGUAUAAAGGCAAAAGCGCGCUUAACUGCGAGACCCACAAGUCGAGCAGGUACGAAAGUAGGUCUUAGUGAUCCGGUGGUUCUGUAUGGAAGGGCCAUCGCUCAACGGAUAAAAGGUA